CCAAGUCACACACUGCAGCAGUUUUUGCCUUCCUCUCACUGUGAAGGGAGCCAAGGCCAAUUACUCAACUCACCUGCUAAUGUUAUGUGCUUAGAAAGAGGAGAAAACAUUGGUUGGAAGAGGAGACAUGACAGAUGAGACUACCAAAACAGCCAUAUUGCAAACAAGAUAAGAACAGUGAUAGGAAACGUGUAAUUACUGUUUUUCACCAAGACCAAGUAGCAAAAAGGCAACAGCAUAGGGAAGAAAAGCUUUUCUCAUUUGAACUAGAAACAAAGGGAGCAGAAAGCAACAAAAAGCACAAGAUCCUUAUAAAACAAACAUUCCCAUAUUAUAAGGUGUGCAAGAAUAUACCCAACUCUGUUUAAAACAAACAAAAAACCCACACCACAACAGGUACAGUUCAAUACUAGCGAAAGCUCAAUUUAUUUUAUCUCCGCUCUUCAAAAAGAUUUAGAAAAUGUCAUUGUUAGUCAUUUUAUUAUAAAGCUCAGACAAUUUCUCCUCUCUAUAAUGAAUUUAUAGAUUAGUUUACAAAAACAUUAAGUGUAGGUGUAUAAAAGUUUACCAUUUUGCAUUUAAUGAAGGCUACAGCUCCAGUCUUGCAAAGAUUUAUGCAAAUACUUAACUUGAUACAGGUGAAGUAUUCCAUGGUGAAGGCUGUUAUGCAGAGGCAGUAACAGCUGGUAUAAGGCAACAUUAAUUUGAAGUACAUGGUUGUUAUAGUAUUUAGAAAGGAUUUUCAUUUGUGUUUAACAUCAGUUUUAGGCGUGAAAUACAUUCUUAUUAACACAAAAUAGCUCCUAAGUUAUUUGAUGCGCUGCCAAACCAAAGAAAUGAACCUUUUUUCUUCAUUUUUACUUUUGAGAUUUGUCACUGAUGUGCUUGAUUCUUAUCAUCCAACAAUAAACAUAAAUAGGAAUCAGAUGUUUCUCAGUACUUAUAUUCAUUAUUUUAGUUCUUGCUCUAUGGUUUUUCCCUUUAGCUCUCAGCACAUCACUCAAGUGCUAGUGGGAAUGCAUAUCAGAGAAGUGAGGAAGGACAAAGAAAAAGGGGAACAAAAAAACCCUUUUGCUACAUUUUUUUUCUUUUCCAUGCUAAAUUCAGGUUACCUAUACAAAUAA
rnacentral:lncRNA from 1 species